AGGGCUGCGGGCUCCUGGCCGCGGAGGCCGCAGAGGGUUAUCGCGGCGUGGUCUCCGCGGGGCCCCCGGACGAUCGCGCCGUCAGACCCAGGGGUCGGCGAGCGGCCGCGGGCUGCAGUGCCUCCAGUACAGCAGGAGCUCUGGGAGGGGAGGGGGUUGUCAGACACCCCGCCCCCGCCCCUGGGCCCUGCCCCAGCCGGAGUUGAAUCCAGGACCAACGGCUCUUCACCUCACCACGCCCACUCUCAGCUCCAGCCAUGGGGCCCCUGCUAACCCUGUUCCUGGUGGCCCUGGUGGGCCUCCCGCUGGCCCAGGCUCUGGACUGCCACGUGUGCGCCUACAACGGAGAGAACUGCUUCAACCCCGUCCACUGCCCGGCCAUGGUCACCUACUGCAUGACCACGCGCACUUACUACACCCCGACCAGGAUGAAGGUGAGCAAGUCCUGCGUGCCCAGCUGCUUCGAGACCGUGUACGAUGGUUACUCCAAGCACGCCUCUACCACCUCCUGCUGCCAGUACGACCUCUGUAACGGCGCUGGCCUCGCCAUCCCCGGAACCCUGGCCCUGGCCCCCAUACUCCUGGCUACCCUCUGGGGUCUGCUCUGAAGCCCUGCCCCCACCAGGACCCACGCAAGGACAAGUUCUGAGAAGCCCAGCCCUACCCUUUCACCCUUUCACCCUGCCCCCACCUUCUGUGCUCCCAGAGACCACCCCCCGCAACCGCUCCAGCCACCAUCCAGAACUGCCUACUGGAGGGACUCGAGUGUCCACCACCAUCCUGGGCCUCGCUCCCAGACCACCACCUUCCAUUUUCCAAAGGGAGAGAAGGGAGCUGGGUGGGACCAGAACAGCCUGAUCUUCAGCCCUGGCCUGGCCCUUAGUGGAGGGGAGUGAGCCACAGCAGGUGCCUGAGAGUGUGAGCACCCGAAUCAGCGGGGGAGGGUGGAGGGCGGAGGAUGGAGGGCGGAGGUCGGGGUGGGGGGGUGCGGGGAGGAUCCUGGGAGGAAGGAGAGGAGUCGGAGAGAUGCUGGGAGAGGCCGACUCUGGGAUGCAAUGCAGAUGACCAGGCUCCCUCUGGACACGCACCCCAGGAUUUCCUCUGCAACCCCCAUCCCAAUAAGCACUGCCCACAGCGGCUUCCGGCUGGCCUCCCUCCGCUCUGGCCUGCAGGCCCCGCUCAGUGAGUGCUGGCUGAACUGGCCUGGGCCCCAAAGCCUGAGCCCAUCAGCCUGCGGGUCUCCAGGGAACCCUCUACCCUCCAACUGUGCUUGAGGAGAGAGAGAGGCCCACCGGGGCUGGAGAGCUUCCUCUCUGAUCCGAGGAGUGGUCUGCAAGUGUCCCCAACCUAGUGGGGUAUUGGGACCUUCAAAGGCCCAAGAAUUGGCAUUAUUUAAAGGGUAUAAGCCUAGGUGAACCCCACCCCUGGCCUGGUUUCAGAGAUAAGAGUCUGCCCAGCACAGACCAUGCUGGAUCAGGGUGGCCCAGGAAACGCCGGUCCUCCUCCCACUGAGGCCAGACUGCAUGCCACAUGGUGCCCCAGGUCACACAGGGCCUGCCUGAGGCCUUAGCUGCCCAGUGUCCCCAGCCCGAGGGUCCGGGGAGGGGCCCAGGAGCACCUUCAGGCUGUCUGGACCUAAGUGGGCAGGAUUGUGGCAAAUGCCUGUGUGGUGGCAUCGUCCCUGGAAUGCAGAGGCUCUUGGCCCCCAAGCGUGGCCUCGUCAAGGGAGACUGUGCUGGAGAUCCCGCCUUGAGAGCUUCACCCAGUGCUUCCAGAACCCAAGGGAUUAGGAUAUCGUGGGAGAGCCUGGGGGAGCCUCAGCAGGUGACCUCGGGCAGACCUGGUUGGACCUCCCAGAAGGUCGGGGAAGAUGAGUUUCUCAUCCUGGGCGGGAAAGGAGCUGCACCCCACAGAGUGUCCGGUCAAGGGCUCAGUCCCCACAGGACACCUGGGUGCCUCCUCCUGAGGCCCGAUCCGGUAUGAGCCCUUCCCUGGGGGAGGCGGGCAGCAAGCCAGACUCCAACUCUGAGCUCCCACAGGUCCUGCGGGACACCCCCCAGGAAGGGUUGGUCUCAGGAAGACCAAGCUCCCCACAAGGCUGCCUGGAGGGCCAGCGCAGGCCUCUACCUGCGGAUGCCGGCUGGAAGAAAGGGUAGACAGAGUCCUCCAGCCCUAGCCGCCCUUGACCUGACUCAGUGGGAGAGGCUUGGAAUCGGUUGUUAAAGUGCUUGUGUAAGACCUUUGUCCUGGGUCAGCAGGCAUCCUAGGCCACGGCCGGGAGGAGCACAGGAUCGGUCCUCCCUCCCCUCAGUGGCUGAUGACGUUAGAGCCCUGCCUGGGCACCCGUGGGCUCUGGGGUCACUGAGAGCAGGGAUCCAGGGAGCUGGGCUUGCCGCCGUAUGGGGUUGCUUCUUACACCUGCCUUCUGUGCCCCUCUGUCCACUGUGACCUGGUCCAAGCCCAACACCCACCGCAUUGCACCAGGCCCGCAGGACCGUGCCGUCCACCCCACCGCCACAGGCCGGGCUCUGGCUGGCUGGGCUGUCCUCAGAACCCAGCCCGGAGCCCUCAGGAGGUCCUCGACCAAUACGGGGGCCCCGGCCCCUGGUGGGACGCAUGUGACGCUGACCUGGAAGGGCAGUGCCGGUGGGGACAAGCACAGCGACCAUGGGAACUGACUGUCCGGCUGCCCUGUGCUGUGGCUGUAAGCACUCCACGACCACCCUGCGAGGUAGAAGGCAUUACAGGUGAGGAGGCUGAGGCACGGGGCGCUGGCGUGGCUGCCCGACACCCCCCACCCUGCCCCCGCUGUGCAGUCUUCUCCCAUCUGCUGGGAGGCUGCGUCCCAGAGCCUGGGACAGGGAAGGGAGCAGGUUAUAAACUUAGAACUAUUUUGGCCUGUGAGAUAAUGAUAAGAGCUGAGGGUCAGGAAAGCUCUAGAAGGGGAAAAGUAGAAGCAGAGAUUUGAGACACCGUGAGGCCCAGAGGCAGGCGUCCAGCCCCGCGUCUGCGUCCCGCAAGCUGGGGUUGCAGAGGGGGGGCACAGGGGCACCAGGCCCGUGUCUCCAGCUGCCAGCGAGACAGUGGGCAUUUCCACUGUGGGGGUCCCCCCAACAGAAAUGAGUGUCCCGUCCAUGUGAAUCGAUGCUCGGGCUCUUUAAAGCUCUCCGUGGCGUCCAAAUCUCGAGUCUGGAAGCAGCCUGGGUGUCUCUGCUGUGCUGCUUCCUGUGGGCACCCUGGGAGCACAGCUGGGGAGCGGGGGCAGCAGGCGCCCACCCUGGGGACACAGGGUGGGCAUCUGCAGCCAAAGGCACCCUCCAGACCUGUGUGCGGCCUGGCCCCGCUGCAUACAGAAGGCAUCAGGAAGGUGCGCUGGUGGUGGGCGGGCGGGGAGGGGGGGUCGACCAACCGCCCCAUCUCCCUCCGCAGCUGCUGACUUGUUUGAUAAACAUGUAACUCAUUCAUGCUUCUAGACCUCUUGAGUUCUGUUGGGUCCUACAGCUCUGGGCUGGCUCAUUCAUAAAAUGGGCAUGAUGCCCACCAAGCCGAGGCCUCGGGGGGAUGGACGAAGCUGGGGGUGUAAGUGCCCAGCCCAGGGCCCAGCACACAGGAGGCCUCAGAUCCAUGGGUGGUCCCUCCUCCCUUCCUGCCACUGCGAGCUCUGGACACUUCCAGGGCCAUGCCCCUGCAGGCAGCUAAUGCCAACCCCUGACCCUGACCCUGACCCUGACCCGCAUGAGACUCCGCCUUUGGGCCUGGGCCUCCUUCUCUGUUCACACUAUGCACUUCAGUAUCUCCAGUGUGAAUAAACAGAUGAGGACACA
rnacentral:lncRNA from 1 species